rnacentral:rRNA from 1 species
UACAGGGGGGGCAAGCGUUGUUCGGAAUUACUGGGCGUAAAGGGUUCGUAGGUGGCUUACUAAGUCAAACGUGAAAUCCCUCAGCUUAACUGGGGAACUGCGUCUGAUACUGGAAAGCUUGAGUGCAGGAGAGGAACGCGGAAUUCCAGGUGUAGCGGUGAAAUGCGUAGAUAUCGUAAGGAAGACCAGUGGCGAAGGCGGGUCUCUGGACAGUUCCUGACGCUGAGGCACGAAGGCCAGGGGAGCAAACGGG